CCUACGGGUGGCUGCAGUGGGGAAUAUUGGACAAUGGGCGAAAGCCUGAUCCAGCCAUGCCGCGUGUGUGAAGAAGGCCUUCGGGUUGUAAAGCACUUUCAGUGGGGAAGAAAGCCUUGGGGCUAAUACCCUCGAGGAAGGACAUCACCCACAGAAGAAGCACCGGCUAACUCCGUGCCAGCAGCCGCGGUAAUACGGAGGGUGCGAGCGUUAAUCGGAAUUACUGGGCGUAAAGCGCGCGUAGGCGGUCUGAUAAGCCGGUUGUGAAAGCCCCGGGCUCAACCUGGGAACGGCAUCCGGAACUGUCAGGCUAGAGUGCAGGAGAGGAAGGUAGAAUUCCCGGUGUAGCGGUGAAAUGCGUAGAGAUCGGGAGGAAUACCAGUGGCGAAGGCGGCCUUCUGGACUGACACUGACGCUGAGGUGCGAAAGCGUGGGUAGCAAACAGGAUUAGAUACCCCUAGUAGUC
rnacentral:rRNA from 1 species